rnacentral:rRNA from 1 species
ACAUCGCCUUUUGUCUAACUAUAAAAGGUCAAGCCUGCCCAGUGACAUUGUUCAACGGCCGCGGUAUUCUAACCGUGCGAAGGUAGCGUAAUCACUUGUUUUUUAAAUGAGGACUAGUAUGAAUGGCUUCACGAAGGCUAUACUGUCUCCCUUAUCCAAUCAGUUAAACUAAUCUUCCCGUGAAGAAGCGGGAAUAAACCUAUAAGACGAGAAGACCCUAUGGAGCUUUAAACACUUUUAAACAUUUGACAUUUAACAUUUCAACUUUCAGAAAACUUUACUAAACCAAUCGAUUUGUUUUAAGUUUUAGGUUGGGGUGACCACGGAGAACAACAAAACCUCCACGUAGAAAGAACCUUUCUCUAAGCAAAAAGCCACAUCUUUACGCAUCAAUAAUACUGACCUUAAUUGA